UAUGUAUUCCCUUCGUCCCAAAAAGGUUGUCUCAAAAUUGUCCAAAUUUGGACGUAUGUGGACACUAUUUAGUGUUUAGAUACAUCCAAAUUUGGACAACUUCGAGACAACCUUUUCGGGACGGAGGGAGUAUUUU
rfam:Triticum aestivum genome assembly, contig: Triticum_aestivum_CS42_TGACv1_scaffold_621568_7DS